GCAAUCACAUUAAGCCCGUUAUCUCCACACACUCAUAGCAAGGCGACCGGUUAGUGACUCUGAUCCUUUUCUGCACGGGGUUCUGGUACUUAAGUGGCAUAACCCUUUGCUUACUCACUUGUAGUUGCGGGGGAUCGGACCGUAAUUCGCCCUACCAAGUUCAGCACCAGAAACCGCUGAACCAACUAACAACGAGUCAAAAACUUUUUUUUUGAAGGUUCUACAACCGUUGAGUUAAGUGACCGGGUGAGGGUCACCAAACUUAGAAGGUGCAUUCCUUUAUUUUUUU
rnacentral:lncRNA from 1 species